GGGCCUUGGCUAUGGUCCCUUCCUGGCCCUCCAGGUCCAGGCCCAACUCCCCUCCUCAUCCUAGAGCGUCGGGCCCUGCUACCAUCCUCGCCCUCCAGGGCCUGGGCCCUGUUCCCCUUGUUGCCCUCCAGUGCGGGACCUCACUUCCCUCUAUGCCGUCCAUGGCCCUGUCCUGCUCCCAUCGCUGCACCGUGCUCCCUUUGCUGCCCACCAGGGCCAUGCCCUCCUUACUGUCCUGGGCCAGGCCCUCCUUACUGUCCUGGGCCAGGCCCUCCUUCCCACUUCCCCCUCCAGGGCCUGGGACCUGAUACCUUCGCGGCCCUCAAGGGCCAGGCACUGCCCCCUCCUCACGCUCCAGGGCCUGACCCUGUUCUUCUCCUCACCCUCCAGGGCCAGGCCCGCUCCUCUUUCCACAGCCAAGGCAGGGCCCUACUCUCCUUGCUGCCCUCCAGUGCAGGCCUACUCCCCUCGUUGUGCUCCAGGGGCUUACCCUUCUCACUUCCUUGCCCACCAGGGCCUGGGCUGUGUUCCCCUUGCUGCCCACCAGGGCCAUGCUUCGCUCCCUCCUUGCCCCCCAGGGCUAGACCCUACUCCUCUCCUCACCAUGCUGGGCCAGGCCCUCCUCCCCACCUCUGCCUCCAGGGCCUGGGACCUGAUCUCCUCGCGGCCCGCAAGGGCCAGUCCCUGCCCCCUCCUCACCCUACAGGACUGGGACCUUCUCCCCUCCUCACCUCCAGGCCUAGGCCCUGCUGCCCUCCUCACCCUCCAGGGCCAGGCACUUCUCCCCUGAGGAACAGCCAUCACUACCCUCCAGGGCAUGGGUCCCACAACCUUCCUCACCCUCCAGGGCCAGGCCUGCUCCUCUUGGCCCACCAGGGCAGGGCCCUACUUCCCCCGCUGCCCUCCAGUCAGGACCCCACUCCCCUCUUUGGCCAAGAGGUCCAGGCACUGCUCCCCUCCUCAUCCUCUAGGGCCUGGACCCUGCUACCCUCCCUGCCUUCCAGGGAAGGGCCUUGCUCCCCUCCUAGCCCUCCAGUGCUGGGCCCUGCUCGCUUCCUUGCCUUCAGGGCCUGGGUCCUGCUCCCCAUGCUGCAUACCAGGGCCAGGCCAGCCUCCCCUCCUCACCCUCCAGGGCCUGGGCCUCAUCCCUUCCUUGCUCUAAAGGGCCGGGCCACGCUCCCCUCAAUACCCUCUAGGGCUGGGCCCAGCUCCCCUCCUCACCCUACAGGGUCAGACCCUGCUCCCCUCCUCGCCCUACAGGGUUUGACCCAACUCCCCUCCACGCCCUCCAAACCAGGACCCACUCCCCUCCUCAACCUCCAUGGCCUGGGCCCAACACCCCUCCUAGCCCUUCAGGGCUGGGCCCUGCUCCCCUCCUCACAGUCCAGCGCCAGGCCCCACGCCCCUCAGGAACGGCCAUCACUGCCCUCCAGGUCAUGGGCCCCACUCCCCUCCUCGCCCUCCAGGGCCAGGCCCCAAUCUCCUUGA
rnacentral:lncRNA from 1 species